GACGAACGCUGGCGGCAUGCCUAAUACAUGCAAGUCGAGCGAACAUUUAAAGGAGCUUGCUUCUUUAAGUGUUAGCGGCGGAUGGGUGAGUAACACGUGGGCAACCUGCCCUACAGAUGGGGAUAACUCCGGGAAACCGGGGCUAAUACCGAAUAAACAGUUUGUCUGCAUGGACAAACUCUGAAAGACGGUUUCGGCUGUCACUGUAGGAUGGGCCCGCGGCGCAUUAGCUAGUUGGUGGGAUAACGGCCUACCAAGGCGACGAUGCGUAGCCGACCUGAGAGGGUGAUCGGCCACACUGGGACUGAGACACGGCCCAGACUCCUACGGGUGGCAG
rnacentral:rRNA from 1 species